ensembl:lncRNA
GAGCAGCUACGAGGUUAAAACAAGCUUGAAAAAGCCACAUGCAAAGGGCUGAUGAGGAAGGAAUCUUCAAAGUAAGGGAGUGAAAGCCAGAUGGUGUUUGAUGUGUGGAUAAUGAUUUAGUGCAGCUCAGUGAGAUUUGAUCCCCCUCAUGGAUUCCACCCUCAUUAUCCUUGUACACGGAAGUAAUGCAAGCUGGGCUGUGUGACUGAUAUGGCUGUUCUUUGAUCUGUUCUUCACUUGUACACCUAAGACCUCCCAGCGCUGUGACUCGUGAUUUAAAAGAAUCUUAUGUGCACAGUAAUUUUCCUGACGUAUGCUCUGACAGUGCCCA